GGGAUCCUGGGUCCUUGCUCCCUGCUGGGAAGGCCGGACGGGAGAUUCAUUAUGUUGUAACCUGCCUGUAAAACUGGGAUAACUCCGGGAAACCGGGGCUAAUACCGGAUGGUUGUUUGAACCGCAUGGUUCAGACAUAAAAGGUGGCUUCUGCUACCACUUACCGAUGGACCCGCGGCGCAUUAACUAGUUGGGGAGGUAACGGCUCCCCCAGGGGACGAUGCGUAACCCAACUGAAAGGGUGAUCGGCCCCCCUGGGACUGAAACCCGGCCCAAACUCCUACGGGAGGCAGCAGUAGGGAAUCUUCCGCAAUGGACGAAAGUCUGACGGAACAACCCCCCGUGAGUGAUGAAGGUUUUCGGAUCCUAAAGCUCUGUUGUUAGGGAAAAACAAGUGCCGUUCCAAUAGGGCGGCACCUUGACGGUACCUAACCCGAAAGCCCCGGCUAACUACCUGCCAGCAGCCGCGGUAAUACCUAAGUGGCAAGCGUUGUCCGGAAUUAUUGGGCGUAAAGGGCUCGCAGGCGGUUUCUUAAGUCUGAUGUGAAAGCCCCCGGCUCAACCGGGGAGGGUCAUUGGAAACUGGGGAACUUGAAUGCAGAAGAAGAAAGUGGAAUUCCACGUGUAGCGGUGAAAUGCCUAGAGAUGUGGAGGAACACCAGUGGCGAAAGCGACUCUCUGGUCUGUAACUGACGCUGAAGAGCGAAAGCGUGGGGAGCGAACAGGAUUAGAUACCCUGGUAGUCCACGCCGUAAACGAUGAAUGCUAAGUGUUAAGGGGUUUCCGCCCCUUAGUGCUGCAGCUAACGCAUUAAGCACUUCGCCUGGGGAGUACCGUCGCAAGACUGAAACUUCAAAGGAAUUGGACGGGGGCCCGCACCAAGCGGUUGGAGCAUGUGGUUUAAUUCGAAGCAACGCGAGAACCUUACCAGGUCUUGACAUCCUCUUGACCAUCCUAGAGAUAGGACGUUCCCUUCGGGGCAGAGUGACAGUGGUGCAUGAUGUCGUCAGCUCGUGUCUGGAAUGUGGGUAGUCCCGCACGACCAUC
rnacentral:rRNA from 1 species